rnacentral:rRNA from 1 species
UACGGGGGGGGCAAGCGUUGUUCGGAAUUACUGGGCGUAAAGGCUCGUAGGCGGCCAACUAAGUCAGACGUGAAAUCCCUCGGCUUAACCGGGGAACUGCGUCUGAUACUGGAUGGCUUGAGUUUGGGAGAGGGAUGCGGAAUUCCAGGUGUAGCGGUGAAAUGCGUAGAUAUCUGGAGGAACACCGGUGGCGAAGGCGGCAUCUGGACCAACACUGACGCUGACGUGAGCGAAAGCCAGGGGAGCAAACGGG